rfam:Oryctolagus cuniculus chromosome 1, whole genome shotgun sequence.
GGCUCUGUGGCGCAAUGGAUAGCGCAUUGGACUUCUAGACAGACGGAGGCAUUCAAAGGUUGUGGGUUCGAGUCCCACCAGAGUCG